CCCCUAGAUGUUCUGGGCCGCACGCGCGCUACACUGAACAGUUCAACAAGUCUUAACCUUGGCCGAUAGGUCUGGGUAAUCUUUGAACGCUGUUCGUGAUUGGGAUAGACCUUUGCAAUUAUGGGUCUUCAUCGAGGAAUUCCUAGUAAACGCAAGUCAUCAGCUUGCAUUGAUUACGUCCCUGCCCUUUGUACACACCGCCCGUCGCACCUACCGAUUGAAUGGUCCGGUGAAAUCUCGGGACGGCGGCUUGGUCGCUUGCGUCCGACUGCUGAAACUUGAUUAAACCAUAUCAUUUAGAGGAAGGUGAAGUCGUAACA
rnacentral:rRNA from 1 species